rnacentral:lncRNA from 1 species
GGUUCAGCAGGAGAAGAGACAACAAUGGGGCGUUUGAGUUGAGAACUCAUGUACACGUCAUCAUCUCUAAGUUCACCAUUUUGUAAAUUUAAUCCUCCAAUUAACAAAUAAUACAAAAAUCCUGAAAAAACAAAUCACAUAAUACUCACUUCAUUAAUCAUACACAAUUACAGAUCUAACAAACCACAAUUAUCAACUAACAAUCCUCAACUCUUACCACAGAUCACCUCCAAAUUCUCAUCAAAAUCCUACAAUAAACAAAAUAAUUAAUCCGAUAAUACAAAAAAUCCUUUUUUACUAAAUUACAUUUACUUGAAAGAAAAGCAUAAACAAUGACGUAAGUAAAAGAUUGAGAAUAUUUACAGAGAAAAAAGAGAUCUUCAAACGAGUCCGUUAAUGGCGGUUGCUUUUUAUAUUGUGAAAAAUUCUUCCAAAGGAAGAAGAAACAAGCAGUUCCUUUUAACAAAACUGUGUGUUUUUGGUGUGUGUAUUUUGUGUGUGUAGAGUGAGAUGAAUAUGUAAUUCAAUUCCUUAUUCAAACGUAUAUAUGAAAAGAAGAGAAGAAGCUAAAAUGGAAAAUAUAGCUAUGGCUAUGGCUAUGGCUAUGGCUGUGAUUUAAUUUUAUAUUUUUUUUGCUAGUUAAUUGAAGAUUAUAAUAUGGAGAAAAUUAUCUGCUUUCUGAUACAAAAUAUGUGAGAGGAGCAAAGAGAAAAAAAGAGAGAGAUUUAUUGUGUUGUUAUAUUU